rnacentral:rRNA from 1 species
GACGAACGCUGGCGGCGUGCCUAAUACAUGCAAGUAGAACGCUGAAGAGAGGAGCUUGCUCUUCUUGGAUGAGUUGCGAACGGGUGAGUAACGCGUAGGUAACCUGCCUUGUAGCGGGGGAUAACUAUUGGAAACGAUAGCUAAUACCGCAUAACAAUGAAUGACUCAUGUCAUUAUUUGAAAGGGGCAAUUGCUCCACUACAAGAUGGACCUGCGUUGUAUUAGCUAGUAGGUGAGGUAACGGCUCACCUAGGCGACGAUACGUAGCCGACCUGAGAGGGUGAUCGGCCACACUGGGACUGAGACACGGCCCAGACUCCUACGGGAGGCAGCAGUAGGGAAUCUUCGGCAAUGGGGGCAACCCUGACCGAGCAACGCCGCGUGAGUGAAGAAGGUUUUCGGAUCGUAAAGCUCUGUUGUAAGUCAAGAACGAGUGUGAGAGUGGAAAAUUCACACCUGUG